AGAUCUGAUGGGUUUAUAGGGGUUUCCGCUUUUCCUUCCUCCUCAUUUUCUCUUGCUGCCACGGUGUGAGAAGUGUGUUUCGCCUCCUGCCAUGAUUCGGAGGCCUCCCCAGCCGCGUCGCACUGUAAGUGCAGUUAAACCCAGUUUCUUUCCCCGGUCUCAGGGAUGUCUUUAUUAGCAGGGUGAAAACGGACUAAUACGAUGGUUCGUCUCAGAAGCUGAAACAGAGCCACAUUAAAUGUAUCCAAGGCCGUAUCUGAAAAUAGCAGAGAACAGAGACAGUCCCAGGCAGCCUGGCUCUGACUCCAGCCCUCGUCCUGUUGACGGUGCUGUCUUUUCAGAGGCUGACAUCUCCUGGAAGUGCAGAGUCUUGGUCUGUCACCAGGCUGGAGUGUAGUGGCCCAAUCUCGGCUCACUGCAACCUCUGCCUCCUGGAUUCAAGAGGUUCUCCUGCCUCAGGCCUCCCGAGGAGCUGAAACUACAGGAACCAGCCACCAUGCCCUGCUAAUUUUUGUAAUUUUAGUAGAGAUGGGUUUCAUUGUAUUGGCCAGUAUAGUCUCUAACUCCUGACCUUGUGAUCCGCCUGCCCCAGCUUCUCAAAGUGCUGGGAUUAUAGGCGUGGGCGACCAUGCCCGGCCAGUUUAAAAUUAAUUGUAUAUUCACCUUUAUAGGUAUAAAUUCCUGGGACUGUCAGAGGCUGUGUUCUCUUUGAUGUUUCGGAUUUUUUCCCAUUUAUGAAUUUAUCAUUACGGGGCCUGUAAACUGAAGCAACUGAGAGUUUAUGGACAGCUACUGGUGAUAUAAUUCUACAAAAUUUAUAACAAGUUAAUCUGACACCAAUAUAAUUCACAUAAAAUUGUUACUGCCAUUAAAAGAAUUGUUUGUUUAGAUAUAAAUAAAUGUAUUUGAUAAAUAUAAUUUACAAUACUUUUAUAAUCCAUGGUGGUAUUUCAAACUUCAGAUGGAAUGAAGAAAGGGGGGAAAAAGAAGGAUCGAGGGAGAGAAGAACGUAGAAAGAGCAUGUUGGUCCUUCCUGCCUCACGGACAAGUGUUCCAAGGCUUGUUGCUUUCUUACCUGUCACCAUCACACCCACAAGCAGGGAGGACAACUGUGGACCUUGAUGCAAAAUGUACUUAGGUGAAGGUGGCAACCUCCCCGGGUCGCUAAGGGCAGAAGUGUUAAUGACUACAAACGUGAUGCUUUUCAACAGCUCAAAAACUAUUUCUCCUGUGAAACUUUUAACAUAUAGCUGAACAACAAAGAGUUUUGGAGGAAGCCAAAAUACAGCGUGUGGUGACUCACACCUGUAAUUCCAGCACUUUGGAAGGCCGAGAGGAGGGAGGAUCAUGAGAUCAAGACCAUCCUGACUACAAGUGAAACCCUGUCUCAACUAAAAUUACAAAAAAUUAGCUUGUUGUGGUGGCACGUGCCUGUAAUCCCAGCUACGUGGGAGGCUGAGGUAGGAAAAUUGCUUCAACCUGGGAGGUGAGAUCACACCACUGUGCUCCAGCCUGGGCAACGAAGCAAGACGCUGGCUCAAAAAAAAAGAAAAAAAGCCAAAAUAAUUCUUCUCUCAUGUAACUUAGUUAUUACAUUUACAUUGUACUACUUUCUGAUAAAUAGGCCUUUCCACUGAUAAAUCAAAGUUACAGAGACAAAUAUAUAGCAAUAGUAAUAAGUACAUUUUGGUAUAACAUACAGUCUGCUUAAAGCAAUCACAAGACGAUAUUCUCAACAUAUAUUCUACUGCUCAUCUCUUACUUCCAUGGCACCUUCAUUUGGACCUACUGUGUUUUAAAUGAUCCAGUCAUUAUCUAGAAUAGCAUUCCAAAAACAAAUUAAAUUAUUUAAUUCAUUAGCUAUAUAAAUGGAUCAGUCAUUUCAACGAUGCGUAUAUCCAACUCACAUUUCUCUAAUCUUCAUACGCAUAAAGCCACAGAAUGAUCUCCGCCUUGGCCCACUGAAGAUGGUAUGUUUCUUCCUGUCUUCAAGCAGCAAGUGCCAGUGAAGGGAUGUCUAAUAUGAAUAAUCCAUUUGGUUUCCUAUUUGUUCUAAUAAAUCAUGCCAAAGAUGUGGUUAUUUACUGUGAUAUAACAGACCACCCCAACAUUUAGUGACUUAAAAUAAUAAUUAUUUUUUGUGUCCCCGAAUCUGUACUUUGUGUAGGGCUUGGCAGGAAUGGCUCAUCUCUUUUCCACAGGCAUCGACUGGGGCAGCUUGGCAAAGACUGGCAUUUUCAUUUCCAAGGCAGCUCCUCGACAUGGCUGAUUAGUGCCGACUGGAAGUGUGCUGAGAUCUCAGCUUUGGCUGUAAUCAGGGGCCGCUAUGAUGGAGGCCACUGGAAAUUUUACAGUUAAAUGUAUUUUCUACUACACCACUUCAGUUCUUUUUCCAAAAACACUGGAAGCUAAGCUGCAUUUUAUUUGUUGGUUUCUUCAAUAAUAAAUAUUUCACUGUUACUUCUAAUUCUUUUUUUCCAGUUAUGUCAUUCCUCAUUUUUUUCCCUUUUUUCUAAAUUCCAUUUUAUUAUACUUAAGGUGCCCUUAAUAUAGCCAUCAUACUCCUGAUAGUGUUCUUUCUUUCUUUGCCUUCUUAUAUAAGCCCUAUACACACAUAUUUCAUCUCCUUUGUUAUCUUUCCAUUUCUUCACUGAGUCUCUUCGAUCUUUUUUUUAUAGCUGGUUCUCUCAAAAUGUCUUACUUUGCCACUUUGAAAACUUAUUUUAAUUCUUUCAUGCACCAAAAACAAUUUGAAAAUACUCUAUUGUGGUGGUAUGUACCAAUGAUUUUCAAAGAAAUGUUUAUAUUAAUUGCUGUGUUUUGGAAGGUUAAGAGAAUCUCAUUCAGAAAGUAAGUUGGUUCAAAAUUCUCGAACAAAUUUACGACACAUCUAGCAGAUACUUAGCAAGUUGUUUGGUAGACAUUAGUAGUAUUUACCAACGCCUGCUUCUCCUUGUAAGCAAAUAUAUAUCUAUAUUUGCCCCUGUUACUAGGAAAGAAAUUUCGUCUGUGGUAGUGGAAAUCCCAUGGGGGUUUAUUAGAUUCUCCUUGCACCCUUGUUGCAAUGAUAUUGGAAGCAGAGUUGUGAUAAAUCGGUUUGAUCAGACAAAAUUAGAGAUAUCUGGGUUGUGGAGAGCAGCUGCUUUGCAGUAUGGUCUGAGACCCACAGCAGUCUUGUGUACAUGGGAAAUAAACUUUUAUUGUUUUAUGGCAAUGAGAAUUUGGGUUUGUUGUUACUCUCUCCUGGUAGGUUAAUAAUUUUGAUACUAUUUCUUUUUCUUUGACUAUUAAGAAUUUCAUGUGACUAUGAGAAUUUGCAAUACCAUGCCACUCUCCUUUGAUUUCACUGGUCUAUGAAAACAUGAAAAGCCGUAUCUUUAGAAUUACUACAUCUGGAAC